rnacentral:rRNA from 1 species
AGGGCACCACCAGGAGUGGAGCCUGCGGCUUAAUUUGACUCAACACGGGAAAACUCACCCGGCCCGGACACUGGAAGGAUUGACAGAUUGAGAGCUCUUUCUUGAUUCAGUGGGUGGUGGUGCAUGGCCGUUCUUAGUUGGUGGAGUGAUUUGUCUGGUUAAUUCCGAUAACGAACGAGACUCUAGCCUACUAAAUAGAUCGUCGGCUUACAAACGCCGGCGAGACUUCUUAGAGGGACAGGCGGUGAUUCAACCGCACGAAACAGAGCAAUAACAGGCCUGUGAUGCCCUUAGAUGUCCGGGGCCGCACGCGCGCUACACUGAAGUGAUCAGCGUGCUUUUUCAACCUACUCUGUCAAGAGUGGGGAACCCAAUGAACCUUCUUCGUGAUUGGGAUAGGGGAUUGUAAUUGUUCCCCUUGAACGAGGAAUUCCCAGUAAGCGCGAGUCAUAAGCUCGCGUUGAUUACGUCCCUGCCCUUUGUACACACCGCCCGUCGCUACUACCGAUUGAAUGUUUU